UCUUUCUUAUUGGAAGUUUCAUCAGUUGCAUCUUGUUCUUCUCUUACUUUUGGAGAAGUGGUUCCUCAUUAUUAAAAACUGCAACAUUAUCCUUUGCCACUUGAAUUGCUUCCUCCAAUUUUUCCAUUUUCUAUUGAAAUGACUUUUCAAAUUUCUCAAAUUUUUCUUCCAUCAAUUCUUCAUGCCUUUUUAAUCCUCUGUCAAUAAUUUCCAUCAUCCUAUUAAGUGAUUUCCGUUCCCAAGGUUAGGCUUCCAUGAUCAUAUUGUAGAAGGCUGGGUAGGGUGUUAGAAAAUUUUGUUUGUUAGAGAAGAAAAAUUACAGAGAUGGGAAGAAAAGUUGAGGCAGAACCAAUGAUUUUGAGAAUUUCAAGAAAGAACAGCAAAAUAAUAAUAAUAAUAACAGAGCCCGAGAAUUGGAAAAUUGAGAAUGGAAGAAAUUUAGAAGUAAUUGCAGCAAAAGAUUGUGAAGAUAGGAGUCAUAAGAAAGGAAGAAUAUACUAGAAAGAGAGAUUAACUAAAAAGGAAGGAGGAGGAGAAGAAAAGGAUUUCAAGAACAGGUUUUUGCCAAGAAGAAGAAAUAGAGCAAAGAAACAGAAGGGAAAGAAAGGGAAGAAAUUUCUGGGAAAGAAGGGAAGAAAAUUUAGGGUAAGAAGGAAGAAGAAAUUG
rnacentral:misc_RNA from 1 species